GGGAGAGGAAUCUUUCUUCUUGCACAUGUAUUUCAUAGUUAUGCAUUAUGAAGUAUUGUAAUGAACCUUGUCCUGUUUGUGGGAAUGAGAACUUAAAAAUAAGUUUGGAGAAGUAUUGCUCCAAAUGGCCUUAGGAAGAAGACUCAAACAUUGCCUCCUAAUUAAUAGGAAUUGAAUAUCCUAUGUUCAUCUACCUCUUGGUUAGAUUGAAUAAAGAUUUGGAUAUAGAAAUCCUUAUGACUGAGUCAUGGUUUGGUUCGGGGUUUAGUUCAGAGAUGAGAAUGUAAGUGGUAUGGGUAACAUUCAGCCUCAACUCCAUUCCUUUUAAGGUUUUCGAUUGGGUUUUCAUCCUCCCAUCAACGAAUGUAAAUCAAAUCUAAAAGUCAUUAUUUGAGGAAUUAUUUGGGUAAAUAAUCCCGACAGUCCAAUCAUCUCUCCCCAGCAUGAUGCUCCCCCAACAUUAUUGAAAUAUGUUUAACAUUUAUUAAAUGUUUAGUGAUGAAUUGGAGUGUGACAAUGAUGCUCUUUCCAAUAAAUAUUUCUCAAAAUUACCAUUUUUUUUUCAAAAAUCCUCCACCAACCCAUUAUAAAUGUAAGUAAUCAUACUAAAAUAAUAAUGCUAAUACAAUUGAAAUAAAAAAUAAAAUAUGAAUAAAUAAGUAACACAAUUUUAUUUUACUCUUUAGUCUAUAAUCUUUCUUCUUAAUAAUUAAAUAUUAUAAAUUUAUUAUUUAUUAAAAUAAAAAAUCUAAUAUAUUUAUAUUUUAUUUUUAUUGUGAUUUUAUAAUUCUUUUAAUUUUAGUAAUAUAUAAAUUAUAUAUUUAUAUUGUACAGUCAGUCACCUCGAUCCCACAUUUCAAGCAUAAACCAAUUAUUUAAAACAUAAUAUUGUUGGAUCAAAACAUCAAUUUUGAUCCAAAAUUCCUUUCUCCGAGAUUAACUGCCCAUGUGAAUGAUCUAAAGCGGUCAGGGAUAUAUCACGUGACCCAAAAAACGACAAAGGAAGGGACAGUGUCGACGGACAGUGCGGUGGCUCCUCUGCCAAAAAGUUGGUCACAGACUUUAAAAGGUAAGUUUUGGGGUAAAAUAACCCUUUUACAACAAAAAAAAACAAAAGAAUUUGGGAAACUGUGUUUUGACGGGCCAUUUGAAAAAUAUCUUAUUUUUGGAAUCCAAUUUUAUAAAAUAUGAUAACCAGAUUUUAAUAUGAAAAGUAAUAUUGCUUUUAUGCACUUUGACCUGGCUCCAUUUUUUUUGUCAAGAUUGCCCUCUGACGGCAAUGACCUCGACGGCAAUGGCUUUUGGCUUAGGUUUUUCGGUGUCGGAGGGGGCUUCCUUUUCGACUUUUUUCUUCAUGCUAGAGUGAGGAGUGAGGAGUGAGGAAGACGAAAGUGUCCUUGCCGUCGUUGUUGCUCCGGUGGAGGAAGUCGCAAAACUUCCACCGUUUUGAUGAUCAUGUGGAGUUGCUUUUCCUGCACCUUCCCGAUGGAGACUUCGCUACCUUGGGUUUCCACACACAGUACAUCCUCGACAGCACUCCCUCGAGCUCGUCGACCUCUGAUGACAAGGACACUCCAGGUCCAUUGCAGAUAAAAAAAAUAGGUUAUAGUGGUGACGAUGACAAUGGACUGAGUUGCGGCGACAAUAACCUUGACACAUCCAGAUUUUUCUCAAAUAUGAAAUAGAAUUUCAAUUGAAAAAUAUGCUUUUGAUAGAGGAGAGAGGAACGGCUUCGGAGGCCGACGAGCUCGAGGGAGUGCUAUCGGGGAUGUACUGUGUGUGGAAACCCAAGGCGGCGAAGUCUCCACCAAGAAGGUGCAGGAAAAACAACUCCACGGGAUCAUCGAAACGGUGGAAGUUCCGCAACUUUCUCCAUCGGAGCAACAGCGACGACAAGGACACUUUCGUCUUCCUCACUCCUCACUCCAGCAUGAAGAAAAAAGCCGAAAAGGAAGUCCCCUUGGGCGCUGAAAAACCUAAGUCAAAAGCCAUUACCGCCAAGGUCAUUGCCGCCGAAGGGCAUUCUUAGCACAAAAAAUGGAGCCAGCUCAAAGUGCAUAAAAGCAAUAUUACUUUCCAUAUUAAAAUUUGGUUCUCAUAUUUUAUAAAAUUGGGUUAUGAAAAUCAGAUAUUUUCCAAAUAGCCCCAUCAAAACACAAGUUUCCCAAAAAAAAUUAUAUAUAAGGUUAAGCCUUUUUACAAAAUUCAUGAUUUUAUUUUAAUUUUUUAAAAUUUAAGUUGAAACCUUGAUUAGAUUUCAGUUUUGGAUUGAAGCCGCAAUUAACAAUUAAGACUUCGUUUUUUAACUGAAGUUGUAAUUAGCAAUUGAUGCUUCAAUUUUUUUUCUUACUUUAAAAUUUAAUUUAAAAAUAUUAAAUUAAAAAUUAUUAUUAAAAUUAAAAAUAUAUAAUUUAAUAAUAAGAAAUUUAUAUACUUAAACUUAAAGAUUUAGUAUUACUUUAAUAAAGAUAAAUUGAUAAAUAUAAUAAUAAAUAAAUAUUUUAUUUAUCAAUAAAUUAAUAAUUUUAAAAUAAUAAAGUUAUAUGAGACAUAAAUAAUGUAUAAAUUUAUAUAAUUUAUUAAUUUAAUAUAUUAAAUUUAUUAUAUUUUUAAAAUAUAAAAUGAUAUAAUCUAUUAAUUUAAAUUACAUCACGUGUAGUACCUACUAAAAUCAUAGAGGGACAUUUUUUUCCAUUAUAUAUGAAAUAUUAAGAUUAUAUUAUUAUUUUAAUAAAGAUUAAUUUGUCAAAAUACAAAUAAAUUAAUAUCUUAAAAAUACAACAAAUUAAAUAUCUUAAAUUAAUAAAUUAUAUAAUUUAUAUCUUAUUUAUAUAUUAUAUAAUUUUAUUAUUUUAAGAUUAUUAAUUUAUUGAUAAAUAAAAUAUUUAUUUAUUAUUAUAUUUAACAAUUUAUAUAUUAGAUUGUUAUAUUUAAAUAUAUAACUUUUUUUUAUUAUUAAGUAUAUACUUUUAAUUUCAAUAAUAAUUUAUAAUUUAAUAUUUUUAAUUAAAAUUUAAAGUAAAAAAAAUUAACUGAAACCUUUAUUGAAAAUUGAGAUCUUAGUUAAAAAAUGAAAUCACAAUUAUCAAUUGUAACUUUAAUUUAAAAAUGAAAUCUCAAUUAACAAUUGAAAUUUCAACUUCAAAAUGAAGCCUCAAUUGAUAAUUGAAGUUUCAGUUUCAAAAUGAUGUCUCAGUUACUAAUUACUUUUUAAAAAUAAAGUAUCAUUUAACAAUUGAAACUUUAAUUUAAAUUUUGAUUAAAUAAAAUAAAAUAAAAUUAUGAUAUAUCUCUUAGUGAUGAUAAAAAGAUUAAUUUGAUCAUAAAGUUUUGCGGACGGGAUACACUAACAUUUCCUUUUAUAAAAGGGUUAUUUUGCACCCCCAAACUCUCAAAAGGCAUUGGCUGACGUCACCAAGUACAUUAUUGGGAUCCCAACCAGCCAUCCUAUCACACUCCACAUUAAAAUCUCCACAAAUCCAAGGUCCAGGACGGCACCUGGUUAAUCAAGAUUCAAGAUCAAGAAAACCACUAUAAAUAAGAAGAGAGCAUACCAAUGGCAGCCACAUCUCUUCAAUCAGCAACAAUGGCUGAAGAAGUGAAGCUUUUUGGCACGUGGGCAAGCCCCUUUAGCCGCAGAAUUGAAGUGGCCCUGAAGCUGAAAGGAGUUCAAUUUGAACAUAGCAGAGAACUUGUCCAGUAAGAGUCCUGCGCUUCUCACGUAUAAUCCAGUUCACAAGAAAAUCCCUGUGCUUGUACACAAUGGAAAGCCGGUUGCAGAGUCACUUGUCAUCCUGGAGUACAUUGAUGAGACCUGGAAACAUAAUCCCAUCUUGCCUACAGACCCUUAUGAGAAGGCCAUGGCACGGUUCUGGGCUAAGUACAUAGAUGACAAGGUAAACCCAAUAGUAUCUUCCUUUUUUAAAAAUUUUCAUUUGGGUCCCGACCACUAUUCGUUAGGCGGUUCUGGCCGGCAGCCAAAAAAGGUUGUGGUGAGUAAGGGAGAGGAGCAAAAGGGAGUGAUUGAAGAAAUCCAGGAGCAGCUGAAAACUCUAGAGAGUGAGCUGAAAGAGACGAAAUUCUUUGGAGGGGAGAGUUUGGGAUUUGUAGACAUAGCUGCAAACAUUUUAGUUUGGCUUCUUGUUGCCCAAGAAGCUCUGGGAUUUGUUGGAACUUUUACUAAUAAAACUAAAUUACCUACUUUUAUCUAGGAAUAUAUUAUUACCUUCAUUAUGAUUUUAACCCAGAUCUAACCUACUAUGUACCAUGAAUAUUCCCUCUCACAGCAAACACCUAGGAAACAACCAAAUAUCUUCUACUUUCAAGCCUACAGUUAUAUUAUACAUGUUAGGGUCAAACAAUGUACUAAAAUGGAUCUCCAAUGACAGUCUAGGAUUUAUAUAGUUUUUUACUAGUGUAAAAAAUUUUAAAUCCUUGAUGAAUGAUGCUUUUACUUCAUGUUUAGUAGACUCUUACUGUGGAUGAGAAUUAAUUAACUAAUCAUAUAUUAAGGUAUCGAAGUGGUAUUUAUCACACUCCCAAAUCCAUACCAUUGAAUAAAAGUCUAAAUACAUAAAACUUAGAUAUAUUUUAAUUUAUAAAGGAAAAAUGGUAAGAUAAUAAAAGUGGUACCUGUCGAACUACAUUCUAGAAUGUCAAAUUUAUAUCCAUGACCAUGAAUAAGGAUAUAAAUAAAUGGAAAUAAGGUACAGAAUACAAAUAAACGAAUCGAUGGUCUAUAUGUAUUUGGAUAGGUACUAUUUUGAUGGCUUAGCAAGAGUAGCUCGGAAAGUUCAAAAACGAAAAAAUGGUGGAUGGUAGACCCACAGCAAUACACCAACCGAUGAAUAUUUUUGAAAGACAUCGGGUCAAACUCGAGUUAUGAUGCAGAAUGGUCUGUGCAAUAUCGCUUCACCAGUAAACGGGUUUGUCCUCAAAUGAAAAAGGGAAGCCGAAAGCCAGUGAACAAAUUACACGAAAAAGUUUGUCCAAGACUCCCAAGGCUUCAAACGUUCCUUCGUCUGCAUAAUUCUUAGUGCACACGUAUUGGCUGACGUCUGGAAGCCUCUUGAUGGCGUCACCAUAUACAUCAAUGCUUCCCAAUCAGCCAUUCGACGACACUGACACGCUCCAAAGUCCAAACUAAGAUCUCGACAAAAGAAAAACCCCUAUAAAUCAGAAGAAAAUACGGCAAGGGAACCAUACCUCUCCAAACUGCAACAAUGGCUGAAGAAGUGAAGCUGUUUGGUGCAUGGGGAAGCCCCUAUAGCCGCAGAAUUGAAUUGGCCCUGAAGCUGAAAGGACUUCAAUUUGAAUACAUAGAAGAGAACUUGUACAAUAAGAGUCCUGCGCUUCUCAAGUAUAAUCCAGUUCACAAGAAAGUCCCUGUGCUCGUACACAAUGGAAAGCCGGUUGCAGAGUCACUUGUCAUCCUGGAGUACAUUGAUGAGACCUGGAAACACAACCCCUUCUUGCCUACAGACCCUUACGAAAAGGCCAAGGCACGGUUCUGGGCUAGGUUCAUAGAUGAGAAGGUAAAUCUAAUACUAUUUUGUUUUUCUUUUUUUAAAAAUCAUCUGGGUCUUGUCUCUUUAAGCAUUGGUAAACUUUAUAUGCAUUAUACAGUUCUGGCCGGCAGCAAAAAAGGCUAUGGCGAGUAGGGGAAGGGAGCGAGAGGAAGCGAUUGAAGAAGCUCAGCAGCAUCUGAAAACCCUUGAGAGUGAGCUGAAAGAGAAGAAAAUCUUUGGAAGGGAGAGUUUGGGAUUUGUAGACAUAGCUGCGCAUCUUUUGUUUUGGCUUGUUGUUGCCCAAGAAGCCUUUGGAGUGGAGAUCCUAACUGAGGAGAAGUUUCCCGCCGUGCAUGAAUUGUAUCAAAGGCUCGCAGAUGAGGCUGUUUUCAAGGAAUGUAUGCCACCAAAGGAGCAACUCAUUGCCUAUCUUAAAGUUCGGUUGGGAGCCUGGACUGCUUCCAAAUGAAGAGUUGGUUUAUGUACGUGUCUGAGUUGAUGGGAGAGGAACCUCUUUCUUCUCAUCUACGUAUGUCAAAGUCCUGUAUUUUGAAGUUGUAUCAUGAGCUUUGUCCCGUUUGUGGGUAUGAGAACUUAAAAAUAAAUUGGAGAAGUACUGCACUAAAUGGUACUACGAGGAAGAACACUCCAGCAUUGCUCCUUAAUAAUAGCAUUUCAAUUCUAUGUACAUCGACCUCUAGAUUAGAUUAAUAAAGAUUUGGAUAUAGAGAUGCUUAUGAAAGAGCAGCAUGGCUUGGUUCUGGUUCAGUUCAUGGAUAUGAGAGAAUGUAAGUGACGUUGAGCCUCAACUCUAAUGCUUUAAGGUUGUGUUUUGAAUUUAUGGCAUGGGAUGCUGAUGCUACUUCUAUAUUCUGCUUUGAAUCAUGGGUGUAUAUGGGCAUCACAAAACUAGAAGCUCCGUUUUGCUACAAAAUUUUCAAAACAUUCAAUGUUUCUAUGCCUAUUUUUUAAAAUAAUUGAUUAUAAACAUAUAAAAUAGUAAUUAACAAAAAUGCUCCUUUUACCAAUUUUUGUUUUUAUUCUAUCAUUCUUCCUAUGCUAUUAGGAGCAAAUUCUCUUUUAUUUAACCAUUUUAGGAUUUUUCAUUAUUUUUUAAACUCUUUUAUAAAUAAUUGAAAAAUCAAUAUUAUUUUCGGUUGGUUGCAGAGUCACUUGUCAUCCUGGAGUACAUUGAUGAGACCUGGAAACACAACCCCAUCUUGCCUACAGACCCUUACGAAAAGGCCUUGGCACGGUUCUGGGCUAGGUUCAUAGAUGAGAAGGUAAACCCAACACUAUUUUCCUUUUUCUUUUUUCUAAAAAAAAAAAAUAAAAUUCAUUUGGGUCCUGUCUCUUUAAGCAUUAAACUCCAUAUUCAUUAUGCAGUUCUGGGCGAUCUGGCCGGCAGUAAAAAAGGCUAUAGUGAGUAGGGAAAGGGAGCGAGAGGAAGCGAUUGAAGAAACUCGGCCGCAUCUGAAAACCCUUGAGAGUGGGCUGAAAGAGAGGAAAUUCGUUGGAGGAGAGAGUUUGGGAUUCGUAGAGCUGGCUGCAAACGUUAUAGUUUGGCUUUUUGUUGCCCAAGAAGUUCUGGGACUGCUAACCGAAGAGAAGUUUCCCACUGUGCAUGAAUGGUAUCAAAGGUUUGCUGAU
rnacentral:lncRNA from 1 species